rnacentral:misc_RNA from 1 species
AACCUAGCACACCUGCGGUGUGUACCUGCGGAGGGAUCAUUAACCUUUCAAAAAACAGGGUGCGUCGCGGCCCCCCUCCGGGGGCGGUUUGGGGUCCUCCCCUUCACGCGCGCACGACUGCAUCCUUACUUUACGAGCACCUUCUGUUCUCCCUCGGCGGGGCAACCUGCCGUUGGAACCGAAUAAACCCUUUUUUGCAUCCAGCGUUACCCGUUCCGAAACAAACAAUCGUUACAACUU